UUAUUCCAGGUGGAUAUGCAAAUUGCCU
rnacentral:piRNA from 1 species